rnacentral:tRNA from 1 species
ACCUUCGUGGUGUAGUGAUCAGCACACUGGGCGCGUAAUCCAGAGAUCCGUGGUUCGAGUCCCGGCUAGGGCA